rnacentral:lncRNA from 1 species
AUGCUGGGCUCCAGUAAAAACCAACAGAAAGAAUCUGUCUACGAGAAAGAAGUACAGUCUGUGUUGGACACGGUGAUACGCUCUUCCCAUCUCUGGAUCGUGCUGGAGAAGGAAAGUAGCUCACGGGACGGUUUCGAGGAGAAGGGGCUUGUAGCCCAGACACCCCUCUCCAGGGACAUUUGCAGGGCUCCUCUGUACCCUAAAUGGGCUAUCCCUGGGCCAGCCCACAGGCAGCCUCUGGGGCCUGUACCCACCUGGUCACAGCCCGCAUCCACCAGCUCCUGCAGCAUCUGUCUGUUCACUUCUGUGGCGGCUGAGGUGCCCGACUCGUUAGCAAAGGGGAGCAAGGAGUAUCUGAUCUCCCGCAGGGCUUUCUGGUACGGCCCAAACUUCGGGGCACUCCUCAUCUGCUGCUGCCGGGCAGUGUCCUUGCCCCCCAGGACCUUGCCCCCUAGGACCUUGGCGUCCAGGGUGGCGUCACUGCCCGGCCCCACAGGCGGCAGCCCCCCGGAUCUCCUGCAGCCGCUGCCGGCUGUUCCCCGAGUAUGUGGUGGCAGGGAAGGUCUUCGGCCGCAUGGUCAGCCCAGGUUCCUCUGACCAUAAAUACAAUCUUCUUAAAGCGUUUUAUUGUUUAAGGGACAAGACCAACAGUAUCAGUUAGCUGUAAACACGCUUUCACAACAGUUUCCUUUUGAAAGUGUCCUUUCCUUCCAUUUUUGUAGUUCCUACAGAGAACCAAACAUUUUCCAGGGUCUUCAUUUUGAAGAUCAUCUCCACCUGAAAAGGAAAAUCAGAAGGUGUUCACUGGUGUUUCCCACAUAAUGUUAGCAGUACUUUUUUGUGAUGGUUUAGUCACAAAGUUGUGUCCAACUCUUGCAACCCCAUGGACUGUAGCCCUCCAGGCUCCUCUGUCAGUGAAAUUUUCCAGGCAAGAAUACUGGAGUGGGUUGCCAUUUCCUUCACCAGGGGAUCUUCCUGACUCAGGAAUAGAACCCGGGUCUCCUGCAUUGCAGGCAGAUUCUUUACCAACUGAGCUAUGAGGGAAGCCCCUUAGCAGCAUUGCUGGUGUUUCCCACAUAAUGUUAGCAGUACUUUUUAGGAAUGGACAAACUCAACGACGACAACAAAAACAACCUAAUCAAAAAAUGGGCAGAAGACCUAAACAGACAUUUCUCUAAAGAAGACAUACAGAUGGUCAACAGGCACAUGUCAAGAUGCUCAACAUCACUAAUUAUUAGAGAAAUGCAAAUCAAAACCACAAUGAGGUAUCACCUCACACUGGUCAGAAUGGCCAACAUCAAAAUGUCUACAAAUAACAAAAAGGAAAAAAGGAAAGAUAUAAGCAUCUGAAUGCAGAGUUCCAAACAAUAGCAAGAAGAGAUAAGAAAGCCUUACUCAGAGAUCAAUGCAAAGAAAUAGAGGAAAAUGACAGAAUGGGAAAGAUUAGAGAUCUCUUCAAGAAAAGUAGAGAUACCAAGGGAACAACAUUUCAUGCAAAGAUGGGCUUGAUAAAGGAUGGUAUGGACCCAACAGAAGCAGAAGAUAUUAAGAAGAGGUGGCAAGAAUACACAGAAGAACUAUACAAAAAAGAUCUUCACGACCAAGAUAAUCACAAUGGUGUGAUCACUCACCUAGAGCCAGACAUCCUGGAAUAUGAAGUCAAGUGGGCCUUAGAAAGCAUCACUAUCAACAAGGUUAGCGGAGGUGAUGUUUCCAGUUGAGCUAUUUCAAAUCCUGAAAGAUGAUGCUGUGAAAGUGCUGCACUCAAUAUGCCAGCAAGUUUGGAAAACUCAGCAGUGGCCACAGGACUGGAAAAGGUCAGUUUUCAUUCUACUCCCAAAGAAAGGCAAUGCAAAAGAAUGCUCAAACUACCACACAAUUCCACUC